CGUGAUUUGUUUGGCCCUAAGCGUUCUCAGAAUCUUGAAUUCCACCUGGGUGAUCUUAGGAAUAAGGAUUUGGAGAAGCUCUUUUCUCAAACACAGACUACAGAUCACACUAAAUGGGUUGGCGCAUUUCACAAGAAGCAGGAUUUUAUUGAUGUUGUAGAG